GAUUGAGGCUGAAACCCGCCUCCAUGAAGUUGGAUUCGCUAGUAAUCGCGCAUCAGCCAUGGCGCGGUGAAUACGUUCCCGGGCCUUGUACACACCGCCCGCCAAGCCAUGGGAGCCGGGGGUGCCUGAAGUUCGUGACCGCAAGGAGCGACCUAGGGCAAAACUGGUGACUGGGGCUAAGUCGUAACAAGGUAUC
rnacentral:rRNA from 1 species